rnacentral:lncRNA from 1 species
AGCCUUCAGAAGAUAAUUAUUCGGAAAAGAAGUGUUGGUCUUGUGGCUUCGUUUAUUAGAGACACAGCAGCUUUCCUGGGGUUCCAAUCUAAGCUAUGGAUUUCUACUUUGGACAAUGUUGGUUAUACCACAAUUCUUGUUUCAUAAAAGGAGCUGAACACAUCUCAGAACUGGUUUUUAUAUAGGUUGGUUUCUAUUCCACCCAU